AUGUUCCAAACAAAUGAUGACGCCAUAUUAUCAGAGAUCAGUUACAAACCAAGGUUGCAUACUACCUAUGAAUUUCCAGUGGUUUGCUUUGUGAAGAGGCUUAAAUUCCCACCUGUGAUGCAUUUUGGAAUGAGUGGGUUUGAUGCCAACACCUUGAAAUAAAUCCCUCAGAAAACAAAAGGACAAGAGUCACCAGCUCCCACACAAAGUAAAACAUGGACACUUAAUUUUAACAGUGUUAAUAAGGAGCAACUAUCCAAGAAGUCACUAUCAAUAAUGCCUGUGUUAUAACACCUUCUCCUCCCUAAAGCAUGGGAACAAGUGAUACAUACUUGUCUGAAAACCAGUUUCAUCAAUACUGUUGAUGUGUCUGUACAAAGAUGAGUAGCAACAUCUGUUACCAGUUUCACUACAUUUUGGAGUUUUGAAUAACAUAUCUAUACCAUGAUAUUUACACUUUUUAAUGAGUUAAUUUUAAGUGAAAUUGCCAUUCUAGCUCUGAAAUCAAGUUCAUACAUAAU
rnacentral:lncRNA from 1 species